UCUGACCCUAGAGUCUUUGCAGGUGUGGCUCCUGUGUCACAGAUACCUCAGCAGGUGGCAAAGAGUAGAGAGGCUGUGUCUAUGCUCAGUGUUCUGACCUGUGAACAUCCGAAUAGUUAGUAGCCCAGCACU